GCACUGCUGAGGAGUCCCACACAGGACGAAACGGCCGUCCAGUAC
rnacentral:hammerhead_ribozyme from 1 species